rnacentral:rRNA from 1 species
CCUACGGGUGGCAGCAGUGGGGAAUAUUGGACAAUGGGGGAAACCCUGAUCCAGCGACGCCGCGUGCGUGAAGAAGUAUUUCGGUACGUAAAGCUCUAUCAGCAGGAAAGAAAAUGACGGUACCUGACUAAGAAGCCCCGUCUAACUACGUGCCAGCAGCCGCGGUAAUACGUAGGGGGCAAGCGUUAUCCGGAUGUACUGGGUGUAAAGGGAGCGUAGACGGCAGUGCAAGUCUGGAGUGAAAGGGGUGGGCUCAACGCCCGGACUGCUCUGGAAACUGUACGGCUGGAGUGCAGAGGCGGUAAGUGGAAUGCAUAGUGUAGCGGUGAAAUGCGUAGAGAUCAGGCGGAACACC